GUCAAAUCUCUCAAAGCACCUGGAAGGAAAAAUGAUAGCUUUGCUUCAGCUUGUUUUCUUUUCAGCAACUUUUGGAGGUGUCCAAUCGAGGGUCCAGCUCGUGGAGUCUGGAGGAGAUGUGAAAAGGCCCGGAGAGUCCAUUCGCCUCUCCUGUCGAGCCCUCGGGAUCAACUUUUCGGGCUAUUACGUGCAUUGGGUGAGACAGGCUCCUGGGAAGGGCUUGGAAUGGGUGGCCUACAUAGGAGACAGUUCAGCUGUACUUCACUACUCGGAUAAAGUGAAGGGAAGAUUCACCAUCUCCAGGGGCACUGGCAACAACUAUCUGCAAAUGAACAGACUUAAACCCGAGGACACGGCUGUGUAUUACUGUGCAAAAGACACAGUGAGAGGAAGUGAAUCUGAAACCAGACAAAAACCCUCCUUUAAUCAAAACAGAAUAGUUGCAUUCCCUCCAACGUUCCACAUGAAAAUAGGGACAUUCUAUUAG